CGUUGCGUCCACGCUGUCUGAACACACGGGAGUGGAGUCGCUCUGUUUUGCGAUGCAUACACUGUACAGAGUGAUAGAUACCCUAUGGAAGUACCAUAGAGAGAGUUUAGAGGCCAUCAAUGUCUAAAAACCAAGUAGUGGUUCCAUCUGAUAAUGACAUCAUUUCUACUAGUAAUGUUAAUUUUGUCAAAUGCGACUUUGAUGCUAUAUUUUCUACCAAAAUAGGUAGGAUGGAAGCUUCCCCACAUACCAAAUAAUUUGGAUAAAAAUGCCACAGGAGAGUCUUAGAAGGCUUCUGCUUUUCUAAGGAAGGAUGUAUGCAUGGGAUACAAAGAAAACAAGAAGUGAAGAAUGGAAGUAAAAGAACCUCUGCUUUGUCUAAUGAGGUUGUCACUAAUCAGAAAUGGAACAGAAAAACUAAAGAGAUUUGUCCUGGUGCUUUCUGAUGAAAUGUGUUCAAGACUGCUGGAGAGCUCCAUGAUCUAAAAUGAGAGUGGAAGAUGGCAUAGAGAAAGAGCAAAAGUCUCUGGAUCUCAUUAAUGAUGUGCUAAUAUGCUCCUCAAGUUUUGAACAACAAAGGAAUGAGAUUCCCAGGCAUUUUUUAUGGUCAUCAGUGUUGAAUAAAAUUUCUGUCUCGGACUUUCCAUAGAGUUUCUGCCAUCUCUUACUUCUGUUUGGGCAUUAGAGGAGGAUGGUAAGGCUGAUAUGUGUUCACACAUCAGCCAUAACAGGGCCAUAAUCUUCAGCAGGGCCAUCAUCAUGAUUGGUAUUUAUCUAGAUAUGUGUAUGGUUGAAUAAAACAACUUGCUCUCUGACUCCA